UUCAUUAUAUUAAGAAUAGGUGAAAGUAAUACACUGAAUAUUAUUUUCUCUCUACAUUUCUCUCAUCUCUCUGCUCUCUUCUAUCUUUUCUUUCUCUUCUUCUUCUUGAAAUAAGUAAACGUAUUCAUCAAGAACACUCAACAGUUUUACAUUGUUAUAUGGUAUCAAAGCUUUACGCACUAGUAAUCUUGGGAAAUUCUGCAUGUAGGCCUGAAAAUGGAACAUGCACCAAAUUAAGAUUCCUUUCCUGAAUCAAUGUGGAGGCAUAGGGAAAGAGUCAAUGCAGUAGUACUGUCUUGGAUCAUGAAUUCAGUGGAAAAAGAAUUGUUAGGAGGUAUCAUGUAUUCUUCAACGAAAGAUUUAACAAGAUAAAUGGGUCGAGAAUUUUCAACCUGCACAAAGAAAUUGCAACUUUGGCUCAAGGAUCUUUAUAAUUUGAAGGUGAAUGAGAUUGGUAAGAAAGAAGGUAGUUUAUACAUCCUAAUGAAUCAAGCAUAUUAGUACAGUAGAAGAUUGUCUCUAACCACAACAACUAGUAAGACAACUGUCAACUCUACUGAAGACAUACAACUGUGGCACAAAAGGCUUGGUCAUGUGUCUACUAGUGUCUUAAAUAAAUACUAUUUAUAAGUACAAAUAGCAUAGCACAGACAUUAAAGAAAUGUAUUGUUUGUUGUUGUUUAAAACAAACUAGACUGACUUUUCUUAGUAGACUGACAUUAAAGAAAUGUAUUGUUUGUUGUUGUUUAAAACAAACUAGACUGACUUUUCUUAGUAGUAGUAUCAGUACUAGUUCUGCAUUUGAUUUAGUACGUAUGAACAUACGGGGACCUUACAAAGUUGGUGCAUUUGAUGAAAAUAAAUAUUUUCUAACAGUUGUGGAUGAUUGUACUAGAAUGACAUGGGUGUUCUUACUCAAGUUAAAGUCUGAUGUAUGUGUGGUCUUACAACAGAUUCUUACUUAUGUUAAGACUCAAUUUGAUAAAACAGUUAAAGUCCUAAGAACUGACAAUGGCACUGAGUUCAUGAACUCAGCUUGUGCAGAUUUUUUCAAGUCUCUGGUAUCAUACAUCAAACAACUUAUGCUUAUACCCCUUAGCAAAAUGGAGUUGCUGAGAGGAAACACAGGCUCAUACUUGAAGUCAUUAGAGCUCUCAAAUUCCAAAGAAAAAUUCCUAUAAAGUUCUGGGGUGUAUGUGUUCAAACUGCAGUAUACUUGAUAAAUAGAAUACCUAGUACUAUAGUUUAUAACAUGUCUGCGUAUGAGAGACUAUAUAGCAAGAAACCUAUGCUUUCACACUUAAGAGUUAUAGGACACUUGAGCUUAGCCAAGAAUUUACAAAAACAAGGUAAGCUGCAGUUAUGGUCAAAGAUAUCAAUUCUGUUAGGAUAUUUUGGUACACAAAAAUGGUAUAUACUGUUUGAUGUUCAUGGAAAAAAGUUAUUUGUGAGCAGAGAUGUUGAGUUCAGAGAAGACAUUUUUCCAUUUAAUCAAGGUACUCAACAAAAAGAAGUCUUCUUUCCUACAGUAUCUCCUGAGUCUUACAUAUAUAGUGAACCUAUAGAGGGGGAGGUUGGUAAUCAACCUCAGACUUUUACAGUUGAAAAUGACACAACUAAUACUGAAGUUGUUCAGACUAGUUCAACUAGUUCUGAACCUCAGGUUACUCAACAUAAGUCAACUAAUGUUGAGCCUGCAAGAAGGUCAACCAGAGAAAAGAAAUCCUCCUAUUUGGUUGAAGGAUUUUGUAUCUCUCAACAUUCAUCAAGACACACCUUAUUCCAUCUCCAAGUUUGUGGCUUAUGAUCAGUUGUCAUCUAAAUAUUAAUGUUACUUGUCUUCUUUUUCAGUUGAGACAGAACCAGCAAACUACCAUGAAGCUAAGAAAGAUCCCAAGUGGAUUGAAGCAAUGCAAAGUGAAAUAGAUGCAUUGGACAACAAUAAUACCUGGGACAUAGUAACUCUACCAGAAAGAAAGGUUUCAAUAGGUUGCAAAUGGAUAUUAAAGAUUAAGUAUAAGGCAUCAGGGGAGGUAGAUAGGUUUAAGGCAAGACUAGUUGUCAAAGAGUAUAGUCAAAGAAAAGGAAUUGAUUACCAAGAAACUUUUUCUCCUGUUAUCAAGAUGAAAACUGUCAGAAAUGUAUUUACCUUGGCAACAACAAAUCAGUGGCAUGUUCAUCAAAUGGAUGUAUAUAAUGUUUUUUAACAAGGAGACUUAAAUGAUGGAAUGUACAUGAAACUUCCACAAGGAUGUCAUAGCCAGGGGGAGAAUAAAGUAUGUAGUGUUAUGUCGGAAAAAGACGGUUUAAAAUUAAUUUUAACUUUGUAGAGAGAAAAUCAAUUUUAGAAAAAAGAG